rnacentral:misc_RNA from 1 species
AACGCACCUUGCACCCUUUGGUAUUCCGAAGGGUACACCCGUUUGAGUGUCAUUGUAAUCUCACCCCCUUGACUUUUUUGUUGAUCGGUGUGGACCUGGAUGUUGCCGUGUAACAAACGGCUCGUCUGAAAUGCCUGAGUGUACCCUGCUUUGCAGCGUAUUCGGUGUGAUAAAUCUUUACCGGAGUUGACUUUUUCGAGUCGCGCUUGUACCUGUGGGCUCUAUGCUUCCAAACAGUCCUGACAAGGACAAUCUUUGACAAUUUGACCUCAAAUCGGGUGGGACUACCCGCUGAACUUAA